rnacentral:rRNA from 1 species
GACGAACGCUGGCGGCGUGCUUAGCACAUGCAAGUCGAACGGAAAGGCCCUGCUUUUGUGGGGUGCUCGAGUGGCGAACGGGUGAGUAACACGUGAGUAACCUGCCCUUGACUUUGGGAUAACUUCAGGAAACUGGGGCUAAUACCGGAUAGGGGCUCCUGCUGCAUGGUGGGGGUUGGAAAGUUUCGGCGGUUGGGGAUGGACUCGCGGCUUAUCAGCUUGUUGGUGGGGUAGUGGCUUACCAAGGCUUUGACGGGUAGCCGGCCUGAGAGGGUGACCGGCCACAUUGGGACUGAGAUACGGCCCAGACUCCUACGGGAGGCAGCAGUGGGGAAUAUUGCACAAUGGGCGGAAGCCUGAUGCAGCAACGCCGCGUGCGGGAUGACGGCCUUCGGGUUGUAAACCGCUUUCGCCUGUGACGAAGCGUGAGUGACGGUAAUGGGUAAAGAAGCACCGGCUAACUACGUG